UACGGAGGGGGCAAGCGUUGUUCGGAAUCACUGGGCGUAAAGGGUGCGUAGGCGGUCAGUUAAGUCUGGUGUGAAAUCCCUGGGCUCACCCCAGGAAUGGCAUUGGAAACUAGCUGGCUUGAGUGCCGGAGAGGGAAGCGGAAUUCCUGGUGUAGCGGUGAAAUGCGUAGAUACCAGGAGGAACACCGGUGGCGAAGGCGGCUUCCUGGCCGUGCACUGACGCUGAGGCACGAAAGCGUGGGGAGCAAACGGG
rnacentral:misc_RNA from 1 species